rnacentral:lncRNA from 1 species
AUGCUCAAAAUGAAAUGGUUCAUUUCUUGAUUCAAGGACUUGAAAAUUGCACCCAUUGUUUGUCCUUUGUUUAUAGAGAUUAAGACACCAAUCGUUUUCCCAAUGUAAUGAGCAAGCCUUUCAAAGCUUUCUCUCUUCACACCCAUCCCAACAUCUAAGCCAAGCACAUCAGCAUAUUUUACAAAUAUACUAAUAAUUUAUAUCGCAAAUAACAACAUUUAAUAUUAUUUAUCCACGGCCACACUC